GAGAACCCAAUGUGGGACUCGAUCCCAGAACCCUGGGAUCAACCAACUGAGGUGAAGGCAGAAGCUCAACCAACUGAGCCACACCCAGGUGCCCCGGAAAAAUGCUAUUUUUAAGUGAUUUGUGAUAUUUUGUAUCUGCUGUAAAAUGCACAUUUCAGCUAUUGUCAGAUUACUUCAAGGUUGAGUUUUGGGGUUUUUUUUUUCCUCUCCCCUCCCCAAAGUUACUGCUUAAGAUAGUGUAUUGAAUUGAGGUAAGAAGGGUAGUAGGGUAGGUCUAUGGAUAUAGGAGUGUCUGAAUUUUAAAAUGUUAAAUGUACUGCCCUGUUCCAAAUUAUUCAAAGUAUGGUGGAUUCAUGGACUUAAAAUCAAGACUUCUAGUUAGCAUUUUAUCAUAUAAAUACUACUCAGAUGAAACUUUUAUUUAACCAGUUUCAAAUUCUGUAGAUAUAUUCAAGUUUAAAGCUGGCAUAAUCCAGAGGUCAUCUAGAGCUUCAUGAGAGAGAUUUUGCUGUUUUUUUCCCCCCAGCUCUUCUAAGUCUGGAAGUUUGUGAUCCAGGCCAUCUAAGUCCACCAUAAGAAAUUAGAUUGGGCAAGGAUUAGAGACCCAAGAAAGUGGCUUAUAGAUCUCUGAAUACAUGUGAUGCUAUUGAAAAUGAUAAUUAAAUUUUCUGAAGUAUCUAAUACAAUCCCAAUUGAAAAAUGAAAAUAGAAACUGUUAUACCUCUGUAAAAUUAAAUGCUCAUUGGAUAAAAGAAUUAUUAUAUUGAGGUAUUAGGAUUAUAGGUGAAUUUUUUUUUUCCUUUCUUAGACAUCCUCUACAUUGCUAUGUUGUUUUUGUAAUUAGAAAAGAGGGGGAAAAAAAAAAUUUGUUCUUAUUUCCACUGUCCAAAAUUGGCUGUUUUUUUAAAGUCUGGUCUUCUGAAACCAGGAUCCCAGGAUAAACCACAGAGAAGUAACUCCAAAUAAGUUCUUAGCCUGGCUGUCAAAGUGACAAAAGCCAAAAAAGUAUUCCUUGUACUUGGAUGAUGAGUUUUUUGUGGGUUUUUUGGGGAGGUUGGAGAGGGUGGUUGAUAGGGAAUAUAACACUGUAUAAUAGUAUCUAACAUUAUCUCAGUGAGCACCAAGUCUAAUAAGUAUUUUCUAGGCAAUCCCCACAUACUAGGUCUGUUAAUGUUCCACACCUAACAAUGCAUUGUUAACAAUUACUACUUUACCAUCUGUGGUUGUUUCCUCAUGUUGUUACAGCUUUGCUCACAUUCACCUCUGGUGCUGUUGUUGGCAAUUACACAUAUAUUACACUUCUAUGUACAUGACAGGCCCAAUAGUAGGUUACAGUUGGCCUUUAACACAAGUAUGAACUAUAGAAGUCUAUAUGUAGAUCUGUAUGCAAAUAUUUGCAAUGAAUACAGUACAAUAACAUUAUUUUACUUAUGAUUUUAUUUAUUAGUUUUUUUAUUUUUACUUAAUUUAUUUGAGAGAGAGAGAGCACACAAGCAAGGGGAGCAGCAGAGGGAGAAGGGAGCCUGGUGCAGGGUCCCAUCCCAGGACCCUGGGCUUAUGACCUGAGCUGAAGUCAGAUGCUUAACCAACUGAGCAACACACAGGUGCCCCUUACUUACGAAUUUCCUAAUAACUUAUUCAUUUCUAGCUAACUUCACUGUAAAUAUAUAGUAUGUAAUACCUAUAAAAUAUAUGUUAAUCAAUUUGUUUGAUAAGGUUUUGGUUAAUAGCAGGCUGUUAAGUUUUGGGGGAGUCAAAAGUUAUAAGGGGAUAUUUGACUGUGUAGGGGGGCAGUACCCCAGCCCCAUGUUGUAGAUGGGUGAACUGUAUAUACAUAAUUUAUUAAAUUACUUUUUAAUUCAUUUAAGGAAAGAAGUGGGGAAAUUAUGCAUUUAUGUAAUGGUGUUCUCUGGUCCUGUGGAUUUGUAUUACUGUCUGACAUCACUUGCUUUCACUCUGAAGAACUUCCUAGAAUAUCUCUUGUAAGAUGACUUGGCCUGACAACAAAUUCUUUCAGUUUCUGUUUACCUGGGAAAGUCUUUAUUUCACUUUCAUUUUUUAAAGAAUACGUUUGCUGGAUAUCACAGUCUUGGCUGAUAGUUUUUGUGUGUUUGUUUGUUUGUUUGUUUUUUACCAAUUUGAAUAUUUCCCCACUGCUUUCUGGCUCCCAUUGUUCCUGCUGAGAAGUCAGCCGUGGAUCUUACUGGGCUUCCUUGUAAGUGAUACUUUGUUUUUCUCCAGCUUUUCCCAAGAUAUUUUCCUUAUCUUUGAUUUUCAGACUUUUUACUCUAUUUGUGGGUCUCUUCAUUGGGCUUCCUGGGUGGGUUAUUGUUUUUCAAUAAAGUUGGGAUGUUUUUUGCCAUUUUUCAAGUAUUAUCUUUCUCUCCCAGUCUUCUCAGUUCAAGAGCUGCAAGGAUUAUAAAUUUGGUCAUCUGCUCUUAAUUAGUGGGCCCCAGGCUGCUUUGCUUUUCAGGUUCCAGUGUUUGCUUUGUAGUUUCCUCUGUUGGCCUUUCAUACUGUUUACUGCCACUGCUUGCUUCUGUGAGCUUAUAUCCUCUACUCUAACUUGAUAUUUCUCUGUUUCUACUCCAUUAUCUAGGAAACCAGAUAUAACUGAACUACUUAAAGUAUGUCUAAAUUAAGAGCAACAUGGCUCUGCUUUUGAAACCUUGAAAGAACAUGCCCUGAGCUACAGUCUCACAGCCAAGACCAAGGCUACCCUGCCCUGAGGUCCACAGUACGGAUGAAGAAUUGCAGACACAUGAGAAGUGGUACAGGAAAUGAGGGGUGGGGUAAAAUGUGUAUCCCAAGAAGAGAAGACACCAUGUUUGAAAGCCCAGAACUCAAUGAGAAUGCUGUGUGUUGAAGAAACCAACUGAAUCCCACCCAACACAGGGAUGAAAGGCAAGCUUUGACUUCAAGGGUCAGACUGGAAAGUGGGUUUUUCCUGUUACCCUCCUGCAUACUCUGCCCAGAAGGCUGCAUUUGCACCUGCACUUUCAAGUUUCAAGACCCAGAAGAAUAAAAUGUUAAAUGUGGAACAACAGGCAAAACAUGUAAAAUAUCCGACAUACACAAAUCCUGGAAAAGAGGAGAGACUCUGCCCGUUCACGUGGCUUUUCCUCUAGGGAACAUUUUAUCCUGCUUCAUUCCCUGUGCCUCCUUAAAACCAAUCUUUAAGACAUUAAAUAUUAAAAAGGGAAGUAUUUCUCUCCAAAGGGUAUCUGUUGGCUGUACUCUUCUCGCUCUGAAGUGAUGUAGGGUGUAGGGUCUUGGAGCUCUCACUGAGUUGAGGGGUAAACAUGUGGGGAUGGACUGGACCAGACUGAAUUGUUCUAAUUGACCUUGCUGAGUUUAGAGCCAGCAGGAGAUGUCAGACUCUGCUCUUGCUUUUGCCAUUUACAUCCUCUGUGACCUUGGGCAAGGCCUUUCUCAUUUUCAGUUUUGGUGGUUUUUUUUCCCCACAUGUAAAAUGAAACAAUGGGGCGGAAUGCUGUCUUUCUCUUUCUGGCUCUAAAAACUUUGUCUCUGACUUUGUUCCAAGUGAACUGGGAAAGGGGGAAAUUUUCAAGCUCCCAGUUACAGUGGCUGGUCAUCAGAAUCACUUUGGAGAGCUUUAAAAAAUAUAGAGAUAGCUAGGUCUCCUCCCACCCUGUUCUGAUCACUUGUGGUUGCAGCCUUGGAAACUUUUCACAAAGUUCACCAGGUAGAUUCUGUCCAUCAGAUAAAUUUGGGAAUCACCAAACCAAGCCACAAGGGGGCGCCUGGGAGAUGCCAAGUGCCAUCUCAGUUGUUUUAAAACCAUUUUGAAUAUUAAAAAUA